CGUAAUCGUCCUUCAGCGAUCACUGCUCGGCGUGUUUUGAGUCACCAGCCUGUCCACCUGCCUGUCCAGAAUUUGGAUCACGAUCAACCCCAGCCGCCUCGCCCUUUCUGGAGCUUCUCCCCACGGACCCUCACCCCUCCCUCCGGUUCCCUUGGCCCCGCUAUCAUCCCUCCCACGGUCCCGCUCU